GGGCCCUAGUCACCAUUUAGGUGAGUAGGCUCUAUAGCGUUAGGUAUACAUAUUUGUAUUCCUAACGCUAUAGUGUUCCUUUAAAGAUGACCCUGCCUAUUGUUGUGAAUCGAAAUCUGAUAUGCAAAAUUUAGGAAAAAAAUAGUUAAUCUGCAAACAUUCUCUAACUCAUCUCUAAUUACAACUUGGCUAUUUUUACCCUGUGUUUUUCC